rnacentral:rRNA from 1 species
GUCUUUUUGAUUUAUAUAUAAAGUCUGACCUGCCCACUGAAAAUUUUAAAUGGCUGCAGUAAUUUGACUGUACAAAGGUAGCAUAAUCAUUAGUUUUUUAAUUAAAAGCUUGUAUGAAAGGUUGGACGAAGUAAAAUCUGUCUCUUUUUAAUAUAAUUAGAAUUUAAUUUUUAAGUAAAAAAGCUUAAAUUUUUAUAAAAGACGAGAAGACCCUAUAGAGUUUAAUAAUUUUAAUAAAAUAUUUAAUUAAGAUUUAUUAAUUUUAUUUAAUUAAAAUUAUUUUAUUGGGGUAAUAAAAAGAUUAAAAAAAUUCUUUUUUUUUAAUACAUUAAUUUAUGAAUAUAUGAUCCAUUUGUAGUGAUUAAAAGAUUAAAUUACCUUAGGGAUAACAGCGUAAUUUUUUUAAAGAGUUCUUAUCGAUAAAAAAGUUUGCGACCUCGAUGUUGGAUUAAAGAUUAAUUUAGGUGUAGAAGUUUAAAUUUUUGGUCUGUUCGACCAUUAAAUCUUUACAUGAUCUGAGUUCAAACCGGUGUAAGCCAGGUUGGUUUCUAUCUUUAUUAAUUUUUUAUAUUUUAGUACGAAAGGACCAAAUAUAAAAUAUAUAAAUAUUUUUAUUUUGAAUAUUAUU